rnacentral:hammerhead_ribozyme from 1 species
AUGCAGGCUGACGAGUCCAAAAAUAAGAUGAAACGCGCGUCCUGGAU